rnacentral:rRNA from 1 species
GACGAACGCUGGCGGCGUGCCUAAUACAUGCAAGUAGAACGCUGAAGAGAGGAGCUUGCUCUUCUUGGGUGAGUUGCGAACGGGUGAGUAACGCGUAGGUAACCUGCCUUGUAGCGGGGGAUAACUAUUGGAAACGAUAGCUAAUACCGCAUAACAAUGGAUGACACAUGUCAUUUAUUUGAAAGGGGCAAUUGCUCCACUACAAGAUGGACCUGCGUUGUAUUAGCUAGUAGGUGAGGUAACGGCUCACCUAGGCGACGAUACAUAGCCGACCUGAGAGGGUGAUCGGCCACACUGGGACUGAGACACGGCCCAGACUCCUACGGGAGGCAGCAGUAGGGAAUCUUCGGCAAUGGGGGCAACCCUGACCGAGCAACGCCGCGUGAGUGAAGAAGGUUUUCGGAUCGUAAAGCUCUGUUGUAAGUCAAGAACGAGUGUGAGAGUGGAAAGUUCACACUGUGACGGUAGCUUACCAGAAAGGGACGGCUAACUACGUGCCAGCAGCCGCGGUAAUACGUAGGUCCCGAGCGUUGUCCGGAUUUAUUGGGCGUAAAGCGAGCGCAGGCGGUUUGAUAAGUCUGAAGUUAAAGGCUGUGGCUCAACCAUAGUUCGCUUUGGAAACUGUCAAACUUGAGUGCAGAAGGGGAGAGUGGAAUUCCAUGUGUAGCGGUGAAAUGCGUAGAUAUAUGGAGGAACACCGGUGGCGAAAGCGGCUCUCUGGUCUGUAACUGACGCUGAGGCUCGAAAGCGUGGGGAGCGAACAGGAUUAGAUACCCUGGUAGUCCACGCCGUAAACGAUGAGUGCUAGGUGUUGGAUCCUUUCCGGGAUUCAGUGCCGCAGCUAACGCAUUAAGCACUCCGCCUGGGGAGUACGACCGCAAGGUUGAAACUCAAAGGAAUUGACGGGGGCCCGCACAAGCGGUGGAGCAUGUGGUUUAAUUCGAAGCAACGCGAAGAACUUUACCAGGUCUUGACAUCCCGAUGCUAUUUCUAGAGAUAGAAAGUUACUUCGGUACAUCGGUGACAGGUGGUGCAUGGUUGUCGUCAGCUCGUGUCGUGAGAUGUUGGGUUAAGUCCCGCAACGAGCGCAACCCCUAUUGUUAGUUGCCAUCAUUCAGUUGGGCACUCUAGCGAGACUGCCGGUAAUAAACCGGAGGAAGGUGGGGAUGACGUCAAAUCAUCAUGCCCCUUAUGACCUGGGCUACACACGUGCUACAAUGGUUGGUACAACGAGUUGCGAGUCGGUGACGGCAAGCUAAUCUCUUAAAGCCAAUCUCAGUUCGGAUUGUAGGCUGCAACUCGCCUACAUGAAGUCGGAAUCGCUAGUAAUCGCGGAUCAGCACGCCGCGGUGAAUACGUUCCCGGGCCU